GGGCGGGCGAGCGCGCCGGAGACGCCGGCCGAGUUAAAAGGGAAGAAAAUGGUUGCUAUCUCCCGGGCCGGGCUGCCCGGCUGUGGCGCCGAUCCCGCGCCGGGAGAGAACGUCCGCGCCGCGGCCCCGCGGGCGGCCUGAGCUGCGGCGGCGCUUCCCGGCAGCGCUUCCCGGCGGGGCUGGCACGGGGAGGGCGGCAAUGCUGCAGAUGAAGACCUGGUCGUCCCUGCUGCAGAGCCUCAGUAAGUCCCGGCGGGUCCCCGGGGUGCCGGGCGGGAGCGGGACGGGGCGAGCUCGGAGCGUGGGAAAAACCGGCGGGGAAAGUCGGCGCCUGCUGCGGUUUGGCUGGGGGGGGCGCGGGGGCUCCCGCAGCCCCUCAAGGCCCGGUGCCGGGGGUCAGCGCCCGGCCUCAACCUCUGCCCGUCGCCUCCCGACCUUCAGCCCUCUUGAAAAGGGCUUAAAUGCAAAGUUAUCUGAUAGCCGAUGGCGGCCCGGGGCCGAGGACACGGCCCGGUGCCCUGCCUGCGCCCCCGCUCCCACCGUGGCGCACGGGGACGGGCCCCAAUCGCCCUCAGAGCCCUCCCCUCGUGUCCCCCCCCUCGCCCGCCUGCCGCGGCCCUCGGAGCAUCGCAGCCCUCGGAGCAUCAUCGCGGCCCUGCAUCCCGCGGGGUUGCCGGGGCGACAGCUGCGCCGGAGCGAGGGCGCUGCCGGGGGGGGGGGGGACGGGCUGUGCUGGGACCCGCGAGGGUCGCGGGGGCCCCGUCUGUGGCAGCGCAUCCCCUCUGGACGCUGCCCCCGCCGUUCCCCCGUGCUCCUCGACCGGCCGUGCGGCCCUAUGCGGCGAGGGUUAACCGCCGCGGGGGAAGGAUGCCUCCGAGCCGCUGUGCCAGUUCAGAAACGAAUGUUGCCUUUAAUAUACCAUCCUUCAGUCCUUAUCUCUCCUAAUUUAUUGGACAUAACUGGUUGCGCUGAUGGAUUCGUGGCUUAGACCUUGGCUUCUAAAUUUCAGCAUUAAUAAUCUGCCCCUUCGUUCUGCUCUCCAGAUGUCUUUCAUUUAUCUGCGUAUUCAGUAGGGGUGCCACCUCGUGUCCUCUGUGCCGGUGCUAACGCGGCCCGGUGACAAUAAAUUUGGACUUGUAAUAACA
rnacentral:lncRNA from 1 species